CCUGUCUUCAUCCAGGUGCCCAGUCUAAGACUGAUACUACUGCUAUUGCAGUGACUACUGAGAAGGAUUAAAAGCCAGAAAGCAACCAGAUUUUAUGAAAUAGGGCCACUUGCAUAUGGUCCCUUGUCCUACAAUAACCUGGAGCCCUAGAGAACCAGUGUCUUUUUUUCAUCCAGAAUCCAGUUUCUCUGGAUUCAGAAUUUCUGAGUGACACUUUUCCCACCUCUGGGUAUUGCAGGAGCCUUAGCUUCCUUGCUGCUCAGCCAUGAUGUUCUUCUUUGCCCUAGUGACUUUGAUGCUCUUCUCAAUGAGGGGAACAAGAGCACAAACAGUGACCCAACCCGAAGCUCAGGUCACCACGUUGGAAGGGGACCCCCUGGAGUUGAGGUGCAAUGCCUCCUAUACUGGAAGUCCUACUUUCUUCUGGUAUGUUCAAUAUCCCAAAAGAAAUCUCCAGAGGCUCCUGAAAUAUCUCUCAGGAAACAGGCUGGUUAGAGGCGGCAAAGGUUUUGAAGCAGAAUUUAACAAGAGCAAUAAAUCCUUCAACCUAAGGAAACAGUCUGCCGAAGUGAGCGAUGUGGCUGUAUACUUCUGUGCUGUGAGUGACACAGUGACGUGA